rnacentral:rRNA from 1 species
GACGAGGGGUCCUAGCGUUGUUCGGAAUCAUUGGGCGUAAAGCGUGUGUAGGCUGCCAUUCAAGUCAGUUGUGAAAUCCCCGGGCUUAACCCGGGAAGUGCUUCUGAUACUGUUGGCUUGAGUACUGGAGAGGAUAGUAGAAUUCCUGGUGUAGUGGUGAAAUACGUAGAUAUCGAGGAGGAAUACCGGUGGCGAAGGCGGCUAUCUGGCCAUGUACUGACGCUGAGGCGCGACAGCGUGGGGAGCAACAGG